rnacentral:sRNA from 2 species
CAAACGAAAAUCCCCGAUGGGCUAUGGGGACGCGGGCCAACCCCGAAAUACCUGUUCACCCACGAGCAUGUGGGGAAAAGGUUUAAAUGUCGCAAUUUUUGUCCGUUCUCAGCAAACCCGUCGAGCGAGUGGCAAGAGAUGAAGAAGCUUCUUUUGGGUUUUGGUCGGUUGAAAAACCGGAUAGUUGUGUGGCUAUCCAUGCCUUUUUUGUCUCGAACUCAAAAAAUAUGGCAGUUUUUUUUCCCUGAUAUGUCCAGUUAGUUUCAGAAAUGAACACCUAUCUGAGGAGGGAGCUGGGCGGGGACCUUGUUCCCCGGGUUUUUGAGAGAGAGCUUGUUUUGACGCAGUGUUCAAGUGCCCUGAAGUUUAACCCAGCCUUUUUACCAUUGAACCAGCUUAUCGAAUAGCGCAUGUUUCGCGGCCAGAGCGAACUUGUCGAGUGUAAGAUUUGUUGGUGAGAGCAAUUUCAAAGAGGAUCCGUACUUUGUGCUCCUGAGGUGGGCGUUUACCGUGGUCCACGCCAAGAGGAACCUGGGCUUCUUUAUCUGCAACAAGCAGCGGUGGAGUAUCUCCGUCCUAUAUCCUUACUCUUCAACCACUACUAAAAAUACUGCGCGCAUGUAGGAACCGGACAAAAUGCAAAUCGACCCAAUCACUGAGAAGUAUAAGCACAUGCUGCUCAUGGAGACGGAAGAAUAAGCGCGGAGGGCGGGAGGGGUGCUGUCAAUGAUAUCAUCCCCCUCGAUGCCGCUUCAAACACAAUAACAACAACAACAACGAUAACGACGACAAUGUCCUCCACCCCACACUCCGGGCAUCGCAUGAAAAUCUUGCCACAGAUUAGGGACUUACUCACCUUCCCUUUAAGGAAGGUGUAGUUUUCAAAAAAAAAAAAAGUUACAAUCCUGGGAGCGCGUUGUGUAUGAUCACCACGCAGUCAAAAAAAAAAAGGGAGGGGGAAUUGAUCCCAUAAAUGUCAGUAACAUAACCAAACCCAUUUUCCUCCCUUCUCCUUUGGCAGGCAAUUACUAGUAUAAAGGAAUUGCAUUGUUAGUAGACAGGGACGAAUUUGCUCCCCCUCCAACCCCGAGCUGGUAGUAAGCUCUGCCAGCACACACAUAGCAGCCAGAAAUAGAAUUCCCGAGAAUAUGGUAAUAAGGUGUCUCCUUCUCCCUUGAUUGAACAAGCACAGGAGCGGAAAUGGGGCUUCAGCCUUAACCCACAGCGGAGACUGCUUUCCUGGAGGCUUGCUGCCGAAGGUUCCCGACGCUUCUAACUCGACAGAGGGGGAGGGAGUCCCGAAUAUCCUGCCCGAGGGUUUCCUGCUCUUACGACUCCCAUGUGGGAAAACAACAAGGAACUCGGGAGGAGGCGAAAAAAGGGCGAAACUUUGAAAAACCAUCAACAGGAAUCAACAGAGCCCCGACCCUGACCUUGGCCUCGCUAAAAGCACAGUCUCCGCCAAGCUCUGAUAUGGUGGCCCGUGCAUGCGCCUGGAUUACAGCUAGUAAGCGAAGUGAUAACGUGAUUUUGAAAAUUGGUAAUGAAACAUACGCAGCACAAUCGUAUACAGAUUGUUAUUGUAUAAAUUGACUGUAACUAGUUAAAUCCAUGUUUGAUUGGUUUAUAAUAUAUAUACUAGUUUAGUUAACUAGUUAGCUGACUAUUUGUAUUGUAAUUCAUUAACUGAUAGUUACCCGAUUAAGGCC